UGGGGAAUAUUGGACAAUGGGCGCAAGCCUGAUCCAGCAAUGCCGCGUGUGUGAAGAAGGCCUUCGGGUUGUAAAGCACUUUUAUCAGGAGCGAAACGCUGUCGGCUAAUACCCGGCGGAACUGACGGUACCUGAGGAAUAAGCACCGGCUAACUUCGUGCCAGCAGCCGCGGUAAUACGAAGGGUGCAAGCGUUAAUCGGAAUUACUGGGCGUAAAGCGUGCGUAGGCGGUUUCUUAAGUCUGCUGUGAAAUCCCCGGGCUCAACCUGGGAAUGGCAGUGGAUACUGGGAGGCUAGAGUGUGUCAGAGGGUGGUGGAAUUCCCGGUGUAGCGGUGAAAUGCGUAGAGAUCGGGAGGAACAUCAGUGGCGAAGGCGGCCACCUGGGACAACACUGACGCUGAGGCAGCGAAAGCGUGGGGGAGCAAACAGGAUUAGAUACCCUGGUAGUCCACGCCCUAAAACGAUGCGAACUGGAUGUUGGUCUCAACUCGGAGAUCAGUGUCGAAGCUAACGCGUUAAGUUCGCCGCCUGGGGAGUACGGUCGCAAGACUGAAACUAAAUGAAUUGACGGGGUCAUAGCUGUUUCCUG
rnacentral:rRNA from 1 species